rnacentral:rRNA from 1 species
UACGAAGGGGGCUAGCGUUGCUCGGAAUCACUGGGCGUAAAGCGCACGUAGGCGGAUCGUUAAGUCAGGGGUGAAAUCCUGGAGCUCAACUCCAGAACUGCCUUUGAUACUGGCGACCUUGAGUUCGGGAGAGGUGAGUGGAACUGCGAGUGUAGAGGUGAAAUUCGUAGAUAUUCGCAAGAACACCAGUGGCGAAGGCGGCUCACUGGCCCGAUACUGCCGCUGAGGUGCGAAAGCGUGGGGAGCAAACAGG